GGGCAUUUUGUCUAGUGGUAUGACUCUCGCUUUGCGUGUCAGAGGUCUGGAGUUUGAUUCUCGGAAUGCCCC
rfam:Theobroma cacao cultivar Matina 1-6 chromosome 2, whole genome shotgun sequence.